rnacentral:piRNA from 1 species
UAACUCUGAGGGGAAAGGUGUCCUGGCA